AUCUGAGAAGGAGCGAAGAUGGCGGAGUGAUGCGCCCCGGGGUCCGGCGGCCUCCCGCCCCGGGGCUGCACCGCCCUUGGGAGGCCCAGGGGAACCGUCGGACCGUGUGAGAUUCCUUACAGGAAGAACAUCUCUUGAGAUUUAGGUGCUUUUCAUUCAUCUCAAAAGCAAAAUUCUGAACUCAGGAUUUGGCAAGUAUUUCUGUGUUGAACUACUCGAGUGGGUAGUACUGCUUCUUUUAUCCAACCACUUUCCCUCUUCCUGAGAUGUGGGUAUCUUCUGCACGUGUCACCUCCACGAUCGGGGAUGGAAAAGACUGCUUUUGUUCCACCUUGCAAAUUGAACAGAAAACCCCUCGGUGUGCUGCUAUCCUGAUGGCUUCCCCAGAAGAACCAUGUUGUGCAAUGAAGGAAUGAUUGGACUUAGUUGAAAAGAUGUUGAAAGAAAGCAAAAGGUUUGUGUGAUGACACCCUAUUCACCUCGCUAGAUGGGAGGCUGCUGUGUUACAAAUUCAUCCCUUUUUUCCUGGACUAACAGCACAUGGAAACUUUGUGUUACUACAGCUAGAAGAAAUUGACAUAAGUGAUUUCUCAGUUCAGAAGAUGUGAUGGACUCUGGCAUAACCUGCCUUCAGCUUUGGACAUAGAGUAAUGAGAACAAAGUUUCCAUGUACUUCCUUUUUCCUAAGGUGGGGUGGGAGGGGAGGUGUCUUAAGUAGCUCUAGCUGACAGUAUGACAUUUUACCAUAGAUCUUGCCUUUUUUUUUUAUAAAAGCCUAGAUGACCCUUUUCUGUCAGCUCAUGAUGGGUACCUGGAUGUUUGAUUGACUUUUCUCAGUGGUAAGUGUAACAUGAUGUGGAGGAGACUGGGGCUCAGGUGUCUUUCCCCAGUGGAAAGUGAACUCAGAGAAUCUCAGAAGCACUGUUCCCGCGUUUGUGAUUAGGCUGUGGUAAAUUUAGAAGAACUGGGUCUUCCUUUCUUUCCUCCUUAACGAUUACAGUGAGUGACAAGCAACUACGGGAUGCUACCUCCCACACCAACACAAGACCACUGUGCUAGUUCUUAGAGCUGUACCCAAGAGUGGAUCCUUUGCUUAUUGUUGUUUGUGAGUGAAGAGAGUUUUGAAUUUUCUUAGAUGAAAUGUAAGUACAGGUAGUGGUGGUGGUGUUUUCUGAAUGUCCACCCAGAGCCUUGUAUGCAGUGAUGCUAGAAACCUGGGGCAGGGUUGUCAAAUUUGAACAUGAUAGAAAUGACCAAAAUAGGAAAUGUUGAGCCCUCGAGUAAUUUGAUUGGUAAGUCAGUCUGAGUUGGGAUGAACUUUUUAGCAAAAUAAAUAGUAUAGGUAAAAUCUAAUUUAAUUGUGGGCAAUUACUGAGGGUAAAAUGUAGCAGACAUAACUUUGGUUAAAGGUUCUUAUACUUUUCUCCUAAGUGAUGCUUUCCUUGUAGUAGUUUCAGUAUUGCAAAUGAGAUGGAGCCUGUAUACAUAGGUUCCACUGGUGCGUUGAGAAUUUUGGAUCCUGGAGAGUUUGUACCUUCUUGUGGUCUUACCCAUCUUCUCAUGUCCUUACCACAUCUUUGUGCAUAGAUUCCUUUGGCAGGGCAUAUCGGCAUCCAUCAGCCAGUGCUGAUGCACCUGUUUCGCCAGGUACCAGACUUUGCCUCUGCAGAUGCUUUCUGCGCUUCACCUCACAGCUCAGAGAACUAGUGUGUUUAAAUGCUCUUUCAGAUUGUUCCUGCAUCUCCCAUGGUUGAUACCAGGUAGUAGUUAACAAAAUCGGUAUAUUCCAGUUGUAGUUACCCAGUGUUUACCUAACUCAUCUGGGGUUCUUUUUUGGGGGAGGGGAUCGAAUUUACUUCUCUUAAUGGCAAAAGCUGUAAUCUUAGGCAGGGCUGUGCCUCAUGCUGUAGCUAUGCCUCCUUUUUCUUUGCUCAUCCAUAUUAGCUAGCAGUUUUUCUUUUGAAAAGUAAACAAAAACGGGAUAUGUGCAAUAGAAAUAUAUAUAUGUAUAUUUUAAUACUUGUGGACAAAUGUUACAAGUUGUUUAAGAACAACAAAAUCACCAAUGUCUUCCAUUUUGAGAUGUGUAUAGUUUUGUAAGCAUUAGUGCUUGGUAGCAUAUUGUAGUGCCAUGUUAGGGGUUAGUAGUGCAUGAGCCUAGUAAUAAUUUUAAACUUCAGGAUGAAUUAUUGAUAAUAACCAAUAGUGUAGAAAGAGUAGAUUAAAUAGAUCUUUUAUUGUUAAUAUCUGAAUCUGUGAUAUUCUCCCUGGGGAAAAGAGUUUAAGGCCAAAAAGACUCAUUUAUAAAUAGAAAUAGGGGUUUGCAACUUGAAAUACUUUGAGGAUAUUUUUUUAUGAGGUAGCUGGAAACCAGCUGCCUUUGUAUCUUGUGAAACCUCAAAUCUAAAUGAGGCCCCGUUUGAUGAUUCUGCUCUAUUAGUUUGAAAUGAGCUUGUUCUCACAUUGUAUGUUUUGGGCUCAUUAUUUUUCACUCCAUGUACAUCAGAAACUUUUAUAUUUUGCAUGUCUUAUUGAGAUGCUAUGUUAAUUGCUUCGAUUGCUUUCUAAUUGCAGGCCAUUUAUAUUUCCUCUCUGUAGCAUGUGUGUUAAUGGACAAAUGCAGUCCAUAGUUUGGACUGUCCUAAAGUAUUCCUACCCUCUUCCCCCCUCCCCCGUUUUUUUUUUUUUCCAAAUCUGCUGAAUUGAGAAUUGGUAGUGUAGCCUACCUAGGUGAUAAAAUGACUGUUUCCCUUGGUACAAUAAACCUCAGGCAGCUUCCACUCUUUACUUCCCAAAAUGGUUCUUUUGUUCUGAAAGCACAGAUAGCUUUCCUAUAGAAAAGCUACCUCAAAAAGCUGCCAUGAGAACUUGGAAGUGGCAGUUUUCUGGGGUGGUUUGUCAAUCCCAGUAAGAGACCAAUAUUUUACAUGAGUAUGAUAGGAAAUGCAAAUCUGUGUUAAUAAUGUAGCAUAUCUUGUACAUGAGCAAGCAAGAACAAGCAGACUGGCCGCAGGGCUCCUGGCCGGAGCAUCAAACCAUGUUAGUGUGUUUAAAGUUGUGUGGCUGAGAAAAUUCAUUUUUGAAAGGCAUUUAAUUUUUUACAAAUACCUCUGAAAAGGUAAUGCUACAAAAGGUACAAAAGUGGCACAGUAUAUAGGCUGGUUCCUGUUGCAAAAAAUAAACAAACAAACAAACAAAAAACCUUGUAAAGCCAUAAAAUUAACUAAUAGUUUUCAAGAGGUAGAAAUUUAGUAGCAAUAACAGUUUUGCAUGUGUAGCGAGUGGCUUCAGCAGGGUUUGUAGAGUAAGUGAUUGCUACCUGAGUUUGUGGAGUUCUCUGACCAAUAGAAUGGCACAGAAGGAAAAAUGCUGUGGGCAAAGAUCAUAUAAAAGGUACUUUGUUUUAAAACAGUGUGAAUGUAUAUGGCUAUGUAAAUGUGUUAGAAAAAUGAACUUCUGUUGGAGGCUGACCCGUUUUUCUAAAGCACAGGGUCAGAGCUGUUGCUGUGAACCCUUCCUGGAAAUGUCCGGGCAGUCCCAGGGAAUCCAACCCUCAGGCUUUUUCUUUCAUAUGUUCUCCAUGCCAUUUACUGUACGGUUCCUUUAAUCUUUGUUCCUCGUCCUUCUCCCUGGGCUUCCAGGUUCACUUUCAGGAAGAAAGUGUGGGGUGUAUGGGUUAAGGGUCAAAAAUAAAUGAACAAUACACUUUUCCUCAUGCUUAUGAAGUUAGAAUUUAAAGGUGAAAAGGAAUAGCCAAAGACUUUUAACAGACUUUUUUAAAAACCUUUGUCUAAUGCAGAUGUACUGAAGCUUCUGGUCUAUGACUGCUCAUUCUUUAUUUACUUAUUUAUGUUUUAACAAGCAAAACCUGGGAAACUACUUUUUCUUGAUCUCUGGCAUCACAUAUGACAGUGGAAAAGGCAUGACCUCCUCUUUCUUUUGCAUCAUGUCCACACUGGCCAUCGGCACCUUGAAGAUCCAAGAAAAGGCUGGAUCUCUGGGCCUUUAGUGUCCCAAGGGAAAAAUCUCAAAAGUUGGUUAAAUUGAAGAGUAUCAUGAAUAUUCAGUUACUAAAGGGGCAAUUCCAGUAGACAGGAAAAAGUUUUAAAUUGAUUACAGCUCUUCUAAAUGUCUUAACACUGUCAGUUGAUGUUCAACAUUGAAACAACAAAGCAAUAUUCAAGCAUCUGCACAACCGGAGGAACAUAACUGCACUCCCAAGUGAUGGCAAAAAUUGGGUUACCCUUAACAGCCAUGGUGAUAGUUCCAGUGCUAAAUAAGACAUGGCACAAGUUUUUGUAGAUUUAGAGCAUGUAUUUAAUUUUGGGAGCUGUGAUCUCAUGUUUACUUUUUAUGUACCUAUGAUAUGCAAAAUAUGAACAGACCCCCCGCCUCCAGGAGUUUACAUUCUCAUGGUGCUGUUGGUGCAAGCAAAUUGCUUCUAGUUUUUUUUUUAGAACAUUGCUUGGCUAUUCGACCAUAUUUGGAAGGCUCCCCUGGCAGACAGUUGAAAAAGCAGAGGACUAUACUAAAUUUCAGGGCAUUGAUGUUUGCGUUUACAUUGUAUUGGCUCUGCUCUUCAGCAGUUCUCCCCCGCCCACCGUGAGCUGUGCAGGCAGUGCUGUGACUCAGAAGCCCAUCCCGCCUAACGGCACCUUCACCACAGGCCACCUAGAGUAGAGCUCUCAGUGACUGGCCGUGGCUUUUCCUUUCCCACUGCUUUCACAACAGUCUUUGCCCAGGAGGGCCCCCAUGAUUUACAUGUAAGCGUUUUAUAACCCAACAGUGAUCCUAAUUUUAACCUUUUGGCUUGACUUGCACCUCUGCCGUGAAGCAGCAUUUUGUGUUAGAUAUGAAGCAUCGGCCUGCAUUCCUAAGCAGUUACUUUACUUCAACUCCAAUCUUCCAUUGGCACUUUGCAUGCAUCCUUGUUAUUUCCCAUAACUCCUCUUGAACAUGGGGUUUCUUUGCAUGCUUAUUACAACUGGAUCUGGUUGAAAGUGCAAGUGAGUAGUGGCACUUUCAACUCUGAUUUCACAGUACUAAUAUUCUAAUGCAUGAGUGAAAAAUUCCAGUACUGUGUGGCUACUAGUAGUUUUAUAUAUGCAUUUCUUAAUAAUGAUGAAGCAAUAGACCUGAACCAAUAGCUUAAAUUUAUUGUUUGUAUCAUUUUCAUUUUCUAAUCAAAGAUUACCUUACUUCCACUGAAAAUGGGAAGUAGAACAGGGGCAACCACAAGACAUUCAUACUAAACUAGCAGAGCAUAAUGAUGCUCGCCCUCUAACCUCUUUUCUAGACUCAAUAGUCCACACGCAUGUUUCAAAAUAAAAGGCACAAAGUAAGCAUGUUGGAUGAACACGCUGCUAUAAUAUCAAAAAGGUGCAGGGUUUUCAGGGAGGGUGGGAAAGUAGGGAGUGUUAGUAUGGCAUGUAUAGAAUAGCUAGGUAUGCAGUUUGUCUGAAAACAUUUCUGUAGACUGAAAUAUCUCAGACGUGAACUGUCAGUACACACAUAUCCCCCACGCUGUGGCAGCUCUUGUGCAUGGCUCUUGUCCUGACCCAUUGUUCAGGAUCCAUGGUGCGAGGGAGACGAUGCCAUUCGGCAGAAAUAGUCCUCAGAAUGCCUGUACAUCUAAGUUUUGCGUUUUCUAGUUACUGUAUUUACAUUUAAAUAUUUGUUUUAAUAGCUAGAGUGUCAUCUUUGAUAGUUUUUUUGUCACAGAUUUUGAUCCUAGGUAAAUAGAAUAUGGUUUUCCUACUUCAAAAAAAACAGAAAACCUUGUUUUAAUGGGGAAAAAAAUCAAUUUAUUGUUGUGGGUUAAAAUUUUUCUGAUAAAGUUGAUGUUGAAAGAACCACAGGUGAAAUUCCUACUGUCUGAAUGGAGCCACCAGGGAAUUCAGAUCAGCCUAGGGGACCGUUGGACUGCUGGGCUUCUAUGCUGGGAGAGGGAGAAUACUAUCUCCAAAAUCAUGUUCACUUGUUUGUGAUAUGAGAUGUCUUGGUCAGCACCUCUAGCAAAGGUAUCUGUCCAUGAUUUGGAAUUAGACUUGUCUUUGUGAAGUUUGGUUUCUGUUCAGGUAUAAGAAAUGAGAUGUAUUUCCCACAUAAAAAUUUCUCUUUUGCCACUUACUGAUAAUGUGUCUUCCAGCCAGUAAAAUUUAAGCUCAGAGUUAACUCUGUUCCCAUUAUUCCAGUGAAAGACAUAUUCAAAUAAAUAUCAGGAAACCAAAUUCUCACAGGUGAUUUCCCCAGAGACCUCCACUAGAGCGAGAGUAGAUAAUCUUACGUUUACUAUUCUCAGGUUUUGUCUCCUGUGGUGAUGGAAUAUAAUUGAUAUUAAAAUAUAUCCUCCCACAGGUUAAUAAAAGCUAUUCUGGCAAUGCAUUAUCUUCAAGCUUAAUGUACUAGUUUUGGAUCAUACCUUAAAAUAACACCUCAUAGUAAAAACAUGAAGACUAUGGGAGUGACUUCACAAUGUAGUUCCUUUUCCCCAUGUAUGAGAUGCUCAGUGUGCUUGUUUUGUGUCGUCUCCUUUGCAUCACUGGUAUGUUAAAGAAUUGCUUUGAAUAUGUUUGAAGUAUUACAAAGGCAGCUUGCUUAUUAUCUAUGCAUUUUUGGGAUUUCUGAAGGAGAAAUUUUAUUCUUUGAUGUGAAAAGGAACUGUUGUAGAGUUGGAAACUCUGCACCUAUGUGUUUGUAUAUAUUUACUUCUUAGCAAUAAAGCAGCAUGGGCUGAGAAUGCACUGAAA